rnacentral:rRNA from 1 species
CAUAUCGGAACGUACCGUGCAGUGGGGGAUAACUAAUCGAAAGAUUAGCUAAUACCGCAUAUAUUCUGAGGAAGAAAGCAGGGGACCUUCGGGCCUUGCGCUGUUUGAGCGGCCGAUAUCUGAUUAGCUGGUUGGUGGGGUAAAGGCCUACCGAGGGGACGAUCAGUAGCGGGUCUGACAGGAUGAUCCGCCACACUGGGACUGAGACACGGCCCAGACUCCUACGGGAGGCAGCAGAGGGAAUCUUCUGCGAUGGACGGAAGUCUGACCGAGCAACGCCGCGUGAGUGAAGAAGGUUUUCGGAUCGUGAAGCUCUGUUGUAAGAGAAGAACGAGUGUGAGAGUGGAAAGUUCACACUGUGACGGUAUCUUACCAGAAAGGGACGGCUAACUACGUGCCAGCAGCCGCGGUAAUACGUAGGUCCCGAGCGUUGUCCGGAUUUAUUGCGCGUAAUGCGAGCGCAGGCGUGACGAUAAGUCUGAAGUUAAAGGCUGUGGCUUAACCAUAGCACGCUUUGGAACUGUUUGACUUGAGCGCAAGAGGGGAGAGUGGAAUUCCGUGUGUAGCUGUGAAAUGCGUAGAUAUAUGGCAGGAACACCGGUGGCGAAACUGCUCUCUGGCUUGUAACUGACGCUGAGGCUCGAAGCGUGGGGAGCAAACAGGAUUAGAUACCCU